AGCAAAUACACAGCGGUCUGGGAUUUUCAAGCCAUGAAAAAAAAGAUUAUGUCAUUUGCAGCUCCUCUUUCGUUGGAUGAGGCGAGAUCCACUGUACUUGGUGUAGUUUUUGCGAUGGACUGCAGUAUUGCGUGCUGUACCUACUGGAAACAGGAAUGAUAAUUCAAGGAUAACUAGCCCGGCUGGAGUUUACAUCAUUGCAUCAAAUGCCUGUUUCACCUGUUGUUUAAUGCGCUGGCUUGUAAAGUAUUAAUGAAGAUACAUUUAUGUUCUGUACUGGUGUAUUCUGACUUUAUUAUUAUUAUUAUUAUUAUUAUUAAUAACACCUAGUUGAAGAUGAAUGUAGUGCAGAUCAAUAUGUUGCACUGCCUCUUCUAAUAAACAUAUCAGAAGGCAAACGAUCUAACUGUACUUUGUUACAGCCAUUUUACUUAGUAUGAAAGAAAAACAACCGCAGCCUCAGACAGGGGAGAGAAAGAACAUCUUUGACAUGUUUAUCCACAAUCCAUUCAAAGAUAGUGGCACAGUACAGAGACAGCUGCUUUUUCGUGUGUGAGAUACAGACAUCACUUUGCUGUUGUAGUCUUGAGACAAAAACUGCAAGUGACGAGUAAAACAG